rnacentral:rRNA from 1 species
AUGAAGGGGUGGGGCGCCAACCUGGGGCGUGACCUCCGCGAGCGCAAGAAGGCCCUAUUGACCGCCAUCCAGGCCCUGGACCUUCGUGCCGACGCGCUGGGUCUCUCUCCUGAGGAGUGGCUUGCCCGAUACAACUUGGAAGACCAGCUCUAUGUCAUCUACGCCGACGAGGAGACCUAUUGGCGCUUGCGUGGUUCCCAAAAAUUGGUGCUGAAUGCCGAUGCAAACACAACCUAUUUCUAGGCCAUUGCGAAUGGUCUCCGUAGACGCAACACCAUCCCCCUCCUUUGGGAUGGCCCGACUCUCCUACAGUCCCCUCGUGAAAUUAGGGCCCAUGUCGACGGCUUCUAUAGGUCCCUAUUCUCAGCCAUUCUUCGGAGUGGUUUAUCUCUGGACCAUGACUGCUGGUCUGGCCGCCAGCUAGUCUCCCAUGCGGAGAACACGACCCUUACGGCCCCCUUCUCCGAGGGCGAGGUCUAGGCUGCAAUUAGAGACAUGAACCCUACCUCGGCCCCGGGUUCGGAUGGCCUACCAGUUAAAUUCUUCCAGACCUUCUGGAAUGUGAUCAAGCCUGAGAUCAUGGCCAUCUUCGGCGAGUUCUACGUAGGGUCCAUCGACCUCGGGCGUCUCAACUAUGGGAUCAUUUCGCUCAUCCCCAAGGUGCCUGGGGCGUCUGACAUCCGCCAGUUUCGUCCGAUGACGAUGAUUAAUGUGAUCUUCCAGAUUCUGGCAAAAGGGUACGCCAAUAGGGUGACCCUUCUUGCCGACCACAUUACCCACCCCAACCAUUCCACCUUCAUCCAAGGCCGAUAUAUCUUGGAUGGGGUGCUAGUCCUUCAUGAAGUCCUACAUGAGGUCCGAUCCAAACACUUCAAGGCGGUCUUCUGA